ensembl:lncRNA
GUUAAUACACUCUACUGAUCCCUGAUGGGAGAAUCAUCACCUCUGCCAACAAAGAAGCCUGGUGGAUGUUUGUUUGCAGUCUGAUGAUGGGACAUCAUGCUCUGCAUCUUCAAAGUUUGUCUCUUGAUUAUUAUUCAUACACAGUAAUGUGAAGCAUGCUCAUAUCUAGUAUAACUGGACCAACCUGGUGCUCUUCAUUUAUGGAGGCUGUUGAGUCUGAAUGUUGGAUGUUGUGUAUCUCGUGUUCUCUGGGCUUUGUUGUCCUCAGUCUUUUUGCAGGAUCAGAAAACAAAACCAGGAGGCCUGUAAAUGUUUCUUCUCCAAUUGGAUGAUGAUAAGACUGUGACACGGGAUGCCACCUUUAGUCUUGUGAUGAAGCAAAGCUCAGGAAGAAGUGUGAUUAAAUGGUACCCACAUGUGUGCUGCUGAGAAGGAUGUACAGGGGCACCUGCAGCCAAAUCCAAGCCUCCUCAGAGCAGAGCGGCCGUUUGUGCUCACAGAUGGUGACGGUGUGGAGAGACGGUGGUGUUUCCUCAGAAGAACUAGCAGAGUCACAAAGGGCACGAGUCCUUCUCACCACCUUGACUUGCUGACUGAUGCUCGUCUGCACUGCACAGAGGAAAUCAACUGACCGAGGAGUGUUUCUGAGUGAGGGAGAGAGGAGUCAUCAUCCAGGUAAAGUGACGUGGAUCAGUGGACACACUUGUCUCCCCUUUAAAGGAGAUACUCUUAGAGAGAGACGAUCAGAGUCAUCCUUAAAUAUGGGCAGGAUAUCAGUCUUGGACUGUCUAACCUGCCGGAGCAGCACUGAAUAACCACCGCACAUGAGCAUGUUCCUGCAACAUUCAGCAGCUUUGCUUUUGUGUCAAAUGUCAACCAGCUGGAGAGGAAACUACACCAGUGUACUGGGAUGUUUCACCAACACGUGCCAGACGCUGUUCCUUCAUGGUGACAUCACCAGAGACAGCCCCGCCCACCCUCAGGACCUCGCCAUUGAUCAUGAUGAUUAUAAUGAUGACAGCGAGCGGAACUAAGACUGUAAAAAUCCACGACCAGAAUGUUUAGAUGCUUUCUAAUUAUUAAUGAAUACUGAGAGCCUCUUUCUGUGUUUUGUCUGUUUUGGUUUUUUUUACCUCAUUUGUUACUAACAAAGUUCAACAAACUCACACAGUUUACAUUCUGUAUGUUUCCAUCUUUACCAGCCACAGUCUAACUGCAAUUAAGAAAACAAACCGUAGAAAUCGUUGCUUUUCUCUUUUGUAAUUGAUGAUAAUUCAGUGAAUUUACUGCGCUGCUUCCUUUUGUUUCGUCUCACAUUGCUUUAAGUUUUUCAGUGUUCAGUUAUUUUUUACUGUUGUUUGAAUUCUCUGUAUGUUUGACCCUGUAGACUGUUUAAUGGACUGCUUGUCUUCCUGUUUGUAACCGCCGCCUGUUUUUGACUAAAGAUUUGGAUUUCUGACUUUAACACAGCCUCUGCGUGUCCUCCCUUUGUGUCCUCUUCCUCUGUGAAUGUGUUGCAUGUGUCACAGAUUCAUUUAUUAACAGCUUUCCCACAGUGAGUUGCAUCAGCAUUCAUUCACAGCACAUUGCAGAAGGAUUCAGAUCAAUACAGUGAUCUUAUAGUCAGAAUUAUCCUGACAGACUGCCACUGUAAAUUAUCUUUCAUCAGGUACAUUUUAAAGUUCAGUAUUUCAAAGCAGGCGUUAUGAAGAAUCAUAUUGGCAUUAGGACUGUAACAAUAUGUACUUACAAAGUCAAAGUUUUUUAAUUAUGCUAGAAUAUUGGAAGACAAUCAACUUUUAGUGUUUUCUGCAUAUUAAUUAUACUGAAAUAGAGAUGGUGACCAUAACUGUACAGAAGCACUAAACAACUGACAAUCUAACAAACAUUACUGGCCUGAGCCAUCAUGCACAGUGAGUCUGAUCCUGUGCUGUGAGAGUCUGACAAGCAUGUUUCUGGUCAGUUUGGAAGAAAUAACAUCACAAUGUUGAUCUUUUUUUAAUAUUCCUUUUACAACAUAAACUGUGACCAAAGCUACUUAUGUUCACAGCAUGUAAUAAUAGUGACAGUCCAGGACAUUGUGGUCUGUUGAGCUAGGGUUAGGGUUAGCAAUUCAGACAUAUGUAAUCAAUCUCUUGCUGGAUAUAACAAACACCUAGGAAUUUGUAUUAUAAUUCAUGAAAUAUUCAAAUUCAAUAUCAGUCAUUUUAUAUUAUAACCAUGUAUCCACCCAGGCUCAUGGUGGGGCAGGGCUCUGUCCUGGGAUGCUUGAGUGAAAGGUAAUGUACACCCUGACCAGGUAUCCAGUCUGUCACAGUUGUUUUCAAUAUUUGGUUCAAAAAUAUGAAUGAAAACAAAAAUCCAACUAGGAUUCUUGCAUAUGAUGGAUGAAGUCUGUCUUUGACUGUAUUGUCCAGCUGAUCCAUCAAACCCCCAGCAGGUGAACCUUAUUCAUGACAUAACACAGUAACAAUGUAAAAAAUUAAACAGCAACAGUCUAAAUGUAAAGUGCAUUCUAAACUCCUCUUCAAUAAAUUAUAUGGAUGUGCAGUGAGUCAUUCAGGACUGUAAAACGUGAACUACAGAACCCAGAGUCUUCACCAUUAAAUCUCUGGUUGCUUCAUUUUUCUAUC